UUUUUAAUCAGGUAAUCUUUCUCUGUGGUCCUUUUGCAAUUCAGAGGCCUCCCGUCUUUUCCUCAGUUUUGUCAGGAGCAGAAGACUCAGCUGACUGUUUUAGCCUGUGGAGUCCAGAGAGGGAAACCCCUAAGGGUGAUGCUGAUGCUGGCGUGAUGCUGAUUUUGGAAAUGGUCUCAGGAAGCUCAGGUAUCUGUUGACGGCUUGGCGAGUCCGAGAGCCUGCUUAUCUUCCUUAUAGGGACUCUCAGACAAGGAUAACUGAACUUUCACAGACCCGCCGGAGACCUGAGAAGGAUAAAUGUUACCCGAGAAAACAGGACGUGCAGAGCAAGCAGCUUCUAAAACUGAAGAAAUGGCAGGAACGGUUGGCUCCCUGGACAGUCACCCAAGGUUCCUCUAUAUUGUUGAGGCAUUCAUCUUCAGAUGCUAAGUCAAGAAGAUCUGAUGUUUAUCUGUGAAACAGGAACUUUGAAGGACUAACCUACCUUGUCUCACCAAAGUUGGUCAACUUCCCAGUGUCCUGCUUGUCCACAGUUUGAACAGCAUGUUGUCAGCAAUUGAGGUCAGAGGUAUUUGUUAGUUUGUCUGUUUUCUCAGUGACCAUCUUUGUCACCGUGGAAGCAAACUCCAGGUGAAGGCUCUGUGGUACCCAUCAUCUUCUUUAGAGUACUGUGGGUACUGCCAGGAGCAUAUAUGUUUCUAUCAGAAAAUUCUUUGAUUAUUAAAAUAUCUUAAAUGCCAUAUUCUGCAGAUCUCUGUUUUGAAGACCAUCUGUCUAUCUAAAGUAUAUCUUAAUACACAAACAUUGUUUCUAGCUAUUUACUUUAUAUAGGAGACAAAAUAAAGCUUGUUUCUGUAAUUAACUAGUACCUAACAUGACUACAAGUAAGAUUAUUUAUAGAUGACCCACUCCUAUUAUUCCCUAGUUAUCCUAAACAGUUUACAAUAGCAGCUUUCAAAAGCACUAGAAGGGCUGGAGAUGGCUCAGUGGUUAAGAGCACUGACUGCUCUUCCUAAAGGUCCUGAGUUCAAAUCCAAGCAACCACAUGGUGGCUCACAACCAUCUGUAAUGAGAUUUGAGAUAUGUACAAUACCUUAAAUAAGAGUUGAGAAAUAUAUCCAGUAUGUUUUGGCAAACAUUACCUUAAAUUUUCAACAUACAGAAAUCCAUACCAGUGUUAAAUAUUUGAUACUUCUUUUUUUUUUUUUUUUCGGAGCUGGGGACCGAACCCAGGGCCUUGUGCUUGCUAGGCAAGCGCUCUACCACUGAGCUAAAUCCCCAACCCCAAAUAUUUGAUACUUAAUGUUGCUUUCAAGCCCAAAAGCAAAUACAAUAAUCUACUUUUCUUUUCCCUAUAUCCGUAUAUCCCCCUCCUUAUUUCUUUUUGUCCCCUUUUCCCUCUUUUCCCUUAACAGUAGAUAAGAGAGAAAGAAGGAUGGAGGGGAAAGAGAGAUCCCUGAGUCUAACCUCUUUCUUUUGCUUCCUUCCUGACCAUUAGUAACUUGUAACCAACCCCCUAAAUACAACAAACAUCCAUAACCCAACCAAGGACUGAAACCACUCACCCCUCCUCUCAGGAAUGGGGCGUCACUUUCUUAUGAUUUCUUCCUACUUUCUGGGUGCAAUGGCAUCCUUUGGAGGAUCCUAAGAAAAUUGGGAUAUUGGCCAAGUCCUGGGAGAGCAGACUGCUUCACUUGUCCAGGAGCUAUGGGAUAGGAAAAUGCAGGGCUUAACUGCAGUCCUGGCUGGAUCAGUCUGUGAGGCUGGACCCUCUGAGCUAGCUGCUUUGAAUCUGUCCUGACACAGCAGCUAAGGCACUCUGUGAGGCUGAAUCACCUGGGCUACUUGCUUUAUCUUCUUCAUUGGUGUCUGGUCUUUUCGCUCUGAAAACACAAACUUUUUUUUUAAUUUAUUUAAUACUUAAUAAUUAUUCUUUGGUUUCCGGGCAAACAUCCCCUCCCCCCUCCCCUUCCUUAUGGGUGUUCCCCUCCCAACCCUCCCCCCAUUGCCGCCCUCCCCCCAACAGUCUAGUUCACUGGGGGUUCAGUCUUAGCAGGACCCAGGGCUUCCCCUUCCACUGGUGCUCUUACUAGGAUAUUCAUUGCUACCUAUGAGGUCAGAGUCCAGGGUCAGUCCAUGUAUAGUCUUUAGGUAGUGGCUUAGUCCCUGGAAGCUCUGAAAACACAAACUUUUAAAGUUAACAUAUGUUUAAGCAUUAACAUAUUGAAUGUGUGUUGAAUAUGAACGUAUUGAAUGUGUGUUGCAAUAAAUCAGGUAAACAUGAUUCUUGUCUAUGUGUUUGAGCAGGUGAAAGGUAUCAAACUUUAUAAGUCCGUUUGUACUGCAUAAUAAAACGAUAAUAUAAAUCUCCUUCCAUGCCGUAUGAAAGGAUGGCAUGUAAUAGUAAGCCCUGAGGACUAGGGAGCCAACAAGAUUCAUUGGCUUCUGUAGAGACGUUUGUGUCUCCACCAGUCUCUGUUCCCAUGUAACAAGGCUAGCAAUUCUAUCAGCUGUUAUGUUGUUGUUCUGGGUCUCUUCUCCCAUGUUUACAGUCAGGAUUUCCAGGAGGUCUUCCCUUAACUUAGAAGGAAUGCAUAGCUUUUCACUUCCUGUUGAAACAAAAACAAAUCCUCUCCCCCAAAGCGAUGCAUUUCCUGGCUUCCAUUCUGAAGCUAACAUAUUAUUACAAUAUAUGGGCCAACUUAAUUCCACAGUCCUUUCUGAAAUCCAGUGUUUUUCAGCGACUGUGCUACCUGUCUCUUUGACAUUUAAAAAAUUUGAGGUCGGUGAGGCAUUAUUUAAUCUAUCUCUGGGAAAUCCCAUACCCCUCUUCUGCUUUAUGAGCAUUCCCUUUAAAAUACAGUGAGAUCUUCUGGACUCUUCUAUAUGUUGAGCCUCCAGAUGCUCUUGGACCAGUUGUUCUAGUGGCUGUAACUUUUUAAAAUUUAAGGGCCAUUGCUCUACCUAAACAGGUUUAUCAGUUAAACAUAUAAAUGGUAGGGCAGUUGGUACUCUGUCUGCAGAGGGCCUCCUCAUAGAUUUGGAUUGCCAACCUGUGCUGUGUCCUCCUUACGGACAGUCUGUUACUGUCUUUGAUAACAUUUUUUCAAUACCUGUUUUGUAGCUUCUCUCUGAAGUUGGGGGAAUGCUGAUCUGUGCUUCCCACUAUUGCAGAAAGAUCUCAUUCCCAUUUGUUCAUGGCUGUAUCUGCCACAGAUGGCUUUAAUCUGACCUAAUGGUCGUAUGCAUUUCAUACACUGUGAACUUCAUCUUACCUGUGCCAAUCCCUAGAAGCUGUGUAGAUACCUUUUGAAGUGGCCAAGCUGACUUCCUGGUAUCUUAUGAAAUUACUGUUACAUCAGCUCCUGGAUCCACUACGCCUUCCACCUCAAUUCCAUCUUCUUGUAAUUUUAACUUUGUUCUCUUAUCAUUUAUAGUAGCUUGCCAGAAUAUCUGUUAUAUUCAGAAUCUCUUCUUCUAUCAAUAGGUGCUGCUCUUUCUCUGGUAAAUGUUUAAGUUUUGAGCAGCGCCGUUUGUCCUGUCAGGUUUUAAUUUUUUUAUGAUUUAUUUAUUCAUUUAUUCUAUAUGAGUACACUGUCGCUGUCUUCACACACAUCAGAAGACAGCAUUGCAUCCCCUUACAAAUGGUUGUGAGCCACCAUGUGGUUGCUGGGAAUUGA